CGAACGCUGGCGGCGUGCCUAAUACAUGCAAGUAGAACGCUGAAGAGAGGAGCUUGCUCUUCUUGGAUGAGUUGCGAACGGGUGAGUAACGCGUAGGUAACCUGCCUUGUAGCGGGGGAUAACUAUUGGAAACGAUAGCUAAUACCGCAUAACAAUGGAUGACCCAUGUCAUUUAUUUGAAAGGGGCAAAUGCUCCACUACAAGAUGGACCUGCGUUGUAUUAGCUAGUAGGUGAGGUAACGGCUCACCUAGGCGACGAUACAUAGCCGACCUGAGAGGGUGAUCGGCCACACUGGGACUGAGACACGGCCCAGACUCCUACGGGAGGCAGCAGUAGGGAAUCUUCGGCAAUGGGGGCAACCCUGACCGAGCAACGCCGCGUGAGUGAAGAAGGUUUUCGGAUCGUAAAGCUCUGUUGUAAGUCAAGAACGAGUGUGAGAGUGGAAAGUUCACACUGUGACGGUAGCUUACCAGAAAGGGACGGCUAACUACGUG
rnacentral:rRNA from 1 species